GACGAACGCUGGCGGUGUGCUUAACACAUGCAAGUGGUGCGACGAACCAGAGCUUGCUCUGGGGCAAAGCCGCGAACGGGUGAGUAACACGUGGGUAAUCUACCCCGAUGACCGGGACAACCCGAGGAAACUCGGGCUAAUACCGGAUGUGGUGCGGAGACAUAAGUCUCUUCACUAAAGGUAGCUUCGGCUUCCGCAUUGGGAGGGGCCCGCGGCCCAUUAGCUUGUUGGUGGGGUCAAGGCCUACCAAGGCAACGAUGGGUAGCUGGUCUGAGAGGACGAUCAGCCAAACUGGGACUGAGACACGGCCCAGACUCCUACGGGGGGCAGCAGUGGGGAAUCUUGCGCAAGGGGGGAAAGCGGGACGCAGCAACACCGCGUGAGGGAAGAAGGCCUUGGGGUUGUAAACCUUUUUCAGAUGGGACGAAGGUUCCCCGGUGAAUAGCCGGGGGGAUGGACGGUACCGUAAGAAGAAGCCCCGGCUAACUACGU
rnacentral:rRNA from 1 species